GUUCUUUAGUCAAUCAUGAUAGUAAAGUGCAAAUUUACAGGUAAGAACAUAAAAUCUUAGGAACUUU
rnacentral:tRNA from 1 species